rnacentral:rRNA from 1 species
GACGAACGCUGGCGGCGUGCUUAACACAUGCAAGUCGAACGAAGAGCGAUGGAAGCUUGCUUCUAUCAAUCUUAGUGGCGAACGGGUGAGUAACGCGUAAUCAACCUGCCCUUCAGAGGGGGAAAACAGUUGGAAACGACUGCUAAUACCGCAUACGAUCCAAUCUCGGCAUCGGGACUGGAUGAAAGGUGGCCUCUAUUUAUAAGCUAUCACUGAAGGAGGGGAUUGCGUCUGAUUAGCUAGUUGGAGGGGUAACGGCCCACCAAGGCGAUGAUCAGUAGCCGGUCUGAGAGGAUGAACGGCCACAUUGGGACUGAGACACGGCCCAGACUCCUACGGGAGGCAGCAGUGGGGAAUCUUCCGCAAUGGACGAAAGUCUGACGGAGCAACGCCGCGUGAGUGAUGACGGCCUUCGGGUUGUAAAGCUCUGUUAAUCGGGACGAAUGGUUCUUGUGCGAAUAGUGCGAGGAUUUGACGGUACCGGAAUAGAAAGCCACGGCUAACUACGUG